UACGUAGGGGGCAAGCGUUGUCCGGAAUCAUUGGGCGUAAAGCGCGUGUAGGCGGUCCGAUUAGUCUGCUGUGAAAGUCAGGGGCUCAACCCUUGAAUGCCGGUGGAUACUGUCGGGCUAGAGUGCGGAAGAGGCGAGUGGAAUUCCUGGUGUAGCGGUGAAAUGCGCAGAUAUCAGGAGGAACACCAAUUGCGAAGGCAGCUCGCUGGGACGUUACUGACGCUGAGACGCGAAAGCGUGGGGAGCGAACAGG
rnacentral:rRNA from 1 species